AUUGAACGCUGGCGGCAGGCCUAACACAUGCAAGUCGAACGAGUGGCGGACGGGUGGGUAAUGUAUGGGCAACUGCCUGAUGGAGGGGGAUAACUACUGGAAACGGUAGCUAAUACCGCAUACCAUCGGAUGUGCCCAGAUGGGAUUAGCGAGUGGGUGGGGUAACGGCUCACCUAGGCGACGAGCCCUAGCUGGUCUGAGAGGAUGACCAGUCACACUGGAACUGAGACACGGUCCAGACUCCUACGGGAGGCAGCAGUGGGGAAUAUUGCACAAUGGGCGAAAGCCUGAUGCAGCCAUGCCGCGUGUGUGAAGAAGGCCUUCGGGUUGUAAAGCACUUUCAGCGGGGAGGCGUUACCCGCAGAAGAAGCACCGGCUAACUCCGUGCCAGCAGCCGCGGUAAUUC
rnacentral:rRNA from 1 species